UUUAGUCUGUUUGGGUACUAAGAAAGCAAAGCUGGAGAGAAAUUUCACAUCUCUUUUCUACCGACCUAGGGGAGGCAGAGUGGGCCAGAGGCACUCUUGGAACAUGGGCUGGAUUUAUCCUGUAAAUUCCUGUCAUCGCUGGAUCCUCUAUGAAUCUUGCAUCCAAGAUACAUAAAAGCAUGUGAUUCUGAUUUGUUGAGGAUGUAUUCACAAGAACUCAUGGGAAGAUACUAUUUUGGAGCAAAAUGGAGGAUGAAAAUGGGAAGUGUAUUCUAAGAAAAGGUACAUGCUCUGUCUUAAAGGCGAAGCCUUCCACCUCCAGUUCAGCUUUGUGGAAGACCGCUACUUGUUAGUUUUGUGUGUUUUAAAGGUGAUGUAAAUAAAGAAAAUAUCUAAUAAAAUAAAUAAAUAAAGACUUUACAGAACAAGAGAGACUUUCUAACAUGUAAAAAUAUUUUAUCUUCUUCAUAGAUGUUGCUUAUAUUUGUUACGCAGUAUCUACUGUAGCACUUGAAAUACCUACUAAUUAUUGUCUAUAAACUAUACAACCAUCAUCUAUUAAA